rnacentral:rRNA from 1 species
AUGGCCGGCGCCCCUGAAUCGCGUGGCUCUGGCGUCCGCCGCAUACCAUUGAGGCGCGUUUGGGCGUCAACUUCAAGUUCUUCUUGCCCUUGCUGCUGCGACAAUUCUCACUGGGGGAGGAAGGACAAAAAAGUUGUAGCGAAGCUGAAGCUCGACCUCUUUGUCAAAUCCUUGAAGUCUGGAGCCAUGUUAGGUGAUGCGUUGGGGGAUGAUGAUCAGAGUGUGUCCGGUGAUUCCAUGUCUGAAUGGCGGUCCUGCGACCAGAUCGACAAUGGGAGCCCGUCGACGUCCCCUCCCUUCUGGGACACUGAUGGCGAAGAUGAUGAUCCUGGGCCCUGUCCUUCAAAUUUAUUCGGGCGACAUACUUGGAGAAUUCAGAACUUCUCAAAGGAGAAGAAGAGAGAAAUGAAAAGUGAACCAUUUGAAGCUGGUGGUUUUAAGUGGUAUAUUCUAGUUUACCCUCAAGGGUGUGAUGUCUCCAAUCACUUGUCACUGUUUCUAUGUGUUGCUGAUCAUGACAAACUCCUUCCAGGAUGGAGCCAGUUUGCACAGUUCACCAUAGCUGUGGGCAAUCUUGAUCCUAAGAAAGUUAAAUAUUCUGACACCUUGCACAAAUUCUGGAAGAAGGAGCAUGAUUGGGGAUGGAAGAAGUUCAUGGAGUUGUCAAAGAUCCAAGAUGGUUUUCUUGUUAAUGAUGUUCUCGAAAUCAUAGCCCAAGUUCAAGUUAUUAGGGAGAAAGUGGACCGCCCGUUUCGUUGCCUUGAGCGUCCUUAUCGACGAGAAUUACUCCGUGUCUAUAUGACAAAUAUAGAGCAAAUUUAUCGUCGCUUUGUUGAAGAACACAGAAGUAAACUUAGCAACCUCAUUGAGGACAAAAUGAGAUGGUCCGGUUUUUGUGCUUUCUGGCUUGCAAUUGACACAAGCACAAGAUAUCGCAUGUCCAGAGAGAAGAGCGACGUCAUAUUGAAAAUAAUUGUGAAGCAUUUCUUUGUAGAGAAAGAGGUCACUUCAACACUAGUUAUGGACUCCCUGCAUACGGGGCUGAAGGCACUUGAGCACCAGUGCAGGGGAAAGAAAGGUAGAGGAAAAUUAAUGGACUUGGAGGAGUUAUCUGCGCCUAUGGUCCAUGUUGACAUGGACACAUUUGCUUUAGCUGGUGAUGUCCUAGCUUUGCUUGAGAGGGCAGCUUUAGAACCCUUGCCUUGUCAACCUCUAUCUCCAAAGGAUGACAAAUGUUCCCAGAGCCGCACUAAGGCUGGUAGUUCUGGCGAAGUUAAAGUUUCAAUUGAGCAUGAAGAAAAGCGCCUAACUGAGUUUGGUCAGAAGAUACUUGAAACAUUUGCUCUAUCUCAUAUAUUUAGUGGGAUUGAGGUCGCUUAUCAAGAAGCUGUCUCUUUGAAGAGGCAAGAAGAGCUUAUUCGUGAAGAGGAAGAAGCUGGGCUCCUUGAAAGUGAGAUGAAGGGGAAGCGCAACAAUACCACUGAAAAGGAGAAGCGUGCAAAGAAAAAACAGGCCAAACAAAAAAAGAACAAUCGGAAGGUUAAAGACAAGGAUAGAGAGGAAAAAUCUGAUUCAAAUUUUGCAGAGAAGGAUCAAGAUGAAAGCACAAUUCAUGAUAGUGAGGAUUCUAAGCAGGCAGGACAAGUAGCCAUGAAAGUUGAUACCUCCGAAGAAGGUGCUUCAGACAUCUCAGACAAUUUAGAUGGAUCAGCUGAGGCAUGUCAAACUGAUGCAGGUGACAAAAUUGCACAACCUGUGAAUGGGGUCAAUGAUGUUGGUAUUGAGACGAAAAAUGUGCAUACUGGGAAGAACUCUACUGUGGAGCACAAGCCACUGCCGUGUUUAUCGGAAUCUGCUACUAUGAACAUUAUGCAAGGCAAAAGAAAUAACUUGCUAGACAGUUCUGGUCAGAAAUCACUUCAUAGAGGGAAAACUCAACGGACGAGGGUCAUAAGCAGCAAGAACGUUCCCAAAGAUGAGGAUGAUCUCCCCUCUAGCACUACAGGUGGUUCAGACCGCAAUACAUCUGGCUGUGGACCAGCACCAAAGCCUGAUCAGGAGACUGUUCUAAUCACCUUAAAAGAUAAGCUUCGGAAGCUUGGGACACGCCUACAUGAGAAGGAAAAUGAGGGCAGGAAACUAGAGGGACAUUUGGAAAAGAAAGCAGCAGCUGAGGCAGUGUCCUCAUCAUCCUCAUCCAGUUCUUUGGAAAAGACUCCUAAUGUUGUGAACAGACCAGAGCAACCUUCCGUGACUAGUCCUGAUGCAAGUAUGUAUGCACCACCUCAUUCUCAACCUGUAAUCACCAAUGGUGCUAAUGGAGCCAUUCCAGCAAAGCCCAAAACCACUGUAAGCACAAAAUCUGGACCUACUGUUGCUCCAAGUAAGGUCAAACCAGCUUUGAAUCUGAAAAUAGAUAGAGCUACUUCAGUCACCCCAAGAUCGCUGCCAGUUGAUAAAGCUGCUACACUUCCUUCAAGCUUGUCGCUAGCAAACAAAGCUAUUCCAGUUCCCCCCCAAUCGUCUGCACCAUGGGUUGCUAAGGCCGCAAAAGGUAUUCCAGCCCCCCCAAAACCGUCUGCACAGGCUAAUAAGGUUACUAAAGCUGCUCCAGUUCCCCUGAAGUCACCUACACCACAGGUUGAAAAAGUUGCUAAAGCUAUUCCAGCUCUGUCUAAUUCACCUGCACCUCAGGUUAAUAAGGUCGCGCCACCUAAUGCAGCGCUACGGCAGUUGCCUUUGGUGUCUUAUUCAGAAGCUCGAAAAAGUGCAGUUCCUAAAAAGAUUGUUGGCACUUCUGUUCCGCGAACUUCUACUGCAGUAUCAAGGCCUUCAAGUGCUCCUCUGUUCCAGGUACCAAGGUCAACUUUGCCACCCAUACCCGGAGCUCAAGUUCCCCCAUCACAGUCACGUUCGUUGACUGCAUCUAGACGAUCCAGCAAUGAGCCCUCUGCUCCUGUGCCAAGUUAUGUACCGCAGUCCUACCGAAAUGCCAUCAUCGGUAAGGGUAGUCUUGAUACUACCUUGUCAAGUUCUGAUAAGGUAACCUCUACAGGCCAAAGCGAUGCGAUUUCUCAGCCACUAUCAGCAUAUGCAUUGGGAACAUCUGCCAUGUUGCCUCCUGUUGGAAGGAAUGGCCAGUUACCCGGUAAUCAAGGAUUCAUAUCUGGGCAGGGCAAGUUGGAUACCCUUGAUAGCUGGCACCCAUGGAAAGGUAUUAGUGAUGCUAAAGAACACAUGCCGAGGGAUGAUACUACAUACCAACAGAUGACCAAUGGUGAUGCGCGCAUACGCCCAUGGAGUGACAAUUCUUAUCAGCAAGCAAGCAACAGUGGAACAGAAGAACAAGGCAGAUUUGGGGGAAUUCAACAUAGGCAGUUCCAGAGUGAGAUUCCUACAAAUUUUGACUCACACCAGCUGCAGGGUUCAGUGGGGGAGGAAUUCCCGCAUCUUGGCAUCAUCAAUGACUUACUUGAGGAGGAACAAAGCAAUGUGAGCAUGGAAGAGCCUCCUAUCCAUGAAUACCAUCCAUUUGGCUUGCCAUUUUCUCCCGGAGGCAACUUCGCAGAGGCUGACAUGACUUCGUCAAGUAGUUCUGGCCAGUUGAACUUGAACGGCCAUUACUAUGACAGGCUGAAUGCUCUACACAGGCUGGGAGAGGGGCAAUUUUCCACAUUGGGUGCUUAUUCCAAUGGAAUGGCGGACUCUUUUUCAUCCAAGCCUUGGCUGUAUAGCUAUCCUAAUCCAAUGGUGAAUCCUGGAGUUAACGGGUUUUCACAGCAGAUGGGGGACUACACCAAUUAUGCAAGUGGGAGAGCGAAUGAGGAAUACAUGUAUCGCCGUGCCAACGGUCAAUGGUGA